rnacentral:rRNA from 1 species
GAUGAACGCUGGCGGCGUGCCUAAUACAUGCAAGUCGAGCGAACAGACGAGGAGCUUGCUCCUCUGACGUUAGCGGCGGACGGGUGAGUAACACGUGGAUAACCUACCUAUAAGACUGGGAUAACUUCGGGAAACCGGAGCUAAUACCGGAUAAUAUAUUGAACCGCAUGGUUCAAUAGUGAAAGACGGUUUUGCUGUCACUUAUAGAUGGAUCCGCGCCGCAUUAGCUAGUUGGUAAGGUAACGGCUUACCAAGGCGACGAUGCGUAGCCGACCUGAGAGGGUGAUCGGGCACACUGGAACUGAGACACGGUCCAGACCCCUACGGGAGGCAGCAGUAGGGAAUCUUCCGGAAUGGGCGAAAGCCUGACGGAGCAACGCCGCGUGAGUGAUGAAGGUCUUCGGAUCGUAAAACUCUGUUAUUAGGGAAGAACAAAUGUGUAAGUAACUAUGCACGUCUUGACGGUACCUAAUCAGAAAGCCACGGCUAACUACGUG